ACAAAGUACACAAGGAGGAAGUAGAGGUGAUGCAAGCAGUGAAUGAGAAAUCAGGAAAAUUUCCAUUAAACUCUGCCUAAGUCCUUUAGGGCUCUGUCUCUGUUUUGUUCCUCUUAAGGUUGUCACUUCUAUGCCUAAUGAUUAUCUCAUUGGUUCCAGGACAUUGUUACCAUUUACCUCCACUGGAUAUCUAUUUUCUUUCAAAAAGCACAAUCAACGUGCCUUUUCCCUGAUUUUCUCUGCCAAACAUAUCAGAUUGUGGGAGGUUUAUGGAUACACAGUACUUCACAGGCAACCUGAAAGGUCCCAAUUUGGGCCCCGAGUCUGCUGGAGAAAAGAGAAAGGCUAAGAAGCAGCCUACCUUACCUGUGGCUCUGGGUCUGAGGAUGGCCAGGAGAACAGAGAGCAAAGCAGAGCCAAUGCAAGACCUCUGGCCCUGGAAGCCGAAGGGUAAGAACAGAGAGAAACCUUGGAGAACAUUCUUGCAUAGAAUUUAUCUAAUAGUGACAGAAAAAAAGGAGGCUAUAAAUAAAGCCCUCCUGAAAGAAGGUCUCUCACAGGUCAACGCAGGAUCUACUCCAUCAUCAUCUUCACUAGCACACCCAGUUCGAUUGAGGAGCCUUGACGUGGGAUAUUGAUGGGAUAUUGAGAGAAAAGAGAAAUGGUGAAUCAAGCACUAAUCUCAAAGCUUCUGCACAGAACUACUUACAUGUCACUUCCUCCCAUGACUAUUCCUAAAUUCAGCCAAAAGGGGACACAUAAUCUCUUACGGGGGAGGGCACCACGGGGAGAGAAACCCGAAUAUUUGGUGAAUAGUAACACAAUCUACUUUGUUAUAGAAUCUGUCCUCAAUGGUCUUACAGUCUAAGAGCAUUACAUUUAGUUACGGUAGUCUUAAAUAUGAUACUAAAUGAAUUGAAUAGCCAGACAUCUGUGAAAGUAAAACUGUGAUAAUACAAAGUCAGUGUGCUUUUAAGUUUCAAUUGCUUAAAGUUAUUUGGAAGUAAGGAUCACAUGAGUUCAGAGCCCCAGGAUUCAAAAAUAACUCCGGAAUCUUUUAUCACUCCCCAAAGGAAAAGCAAUAAUAAGUAAGUUACCAGACAUUCAUGUAAUCUCUCUGAAACUGUAAGACUAACAAAGGAAAAUUUUCAAAAGGCAGAAAUACUUUAUUAUUUAUUUGCAAUAGAAAUUAUUCAGCCGGGCGCGGUGGCUCAUGCCUGUAAUCCCAGCACUUUGGGAGGCCGAGGCGAGUGGAUCACCUGAGGUCGGGAGUUCGAGACCAGCCUGACCAACAUGGAGAAACCCCGUCUCUACUAAAAAUACACAAUUAGCUGGGCAUGGUGGCACAUGCCUGCAAGCCCAGCUACUCAGGAGGCUAAGGCAGGAGCGACAGAGCGAGACUCCAUCUCAAAAAAAAAAGAAAGAAAGAAAGGAAAAAAAGAAAAGAAAAGAAACAAAGAAA
ensembl:lncRNA LINC01235 long intergenic non-protein coding RNA 1235